ACACAUGCAAGUCGAACGAUGAACCUCCUUCGGGAGGGGAUUAGUGGCGAACGGGUGAGUAACACGUGGGCAAUCUGCCCUGCACUCUGGGACAAGCCCUGGAAACGGGGUCUAAUACCGGAUACUGACCCGCUUGGGCAUCCAAGCGGUUCGAAAGCUCCGGCGGUGCAGGAUGAGCCCGCGGCCUAUCAGCUUGUUGGUGAGGUAAUGGCUCACCAAGGCGACGACGGGUAGCCGGCCUGAGAGGGCGACCGGCCACACUGGGACUGAGACACGGCCCAGACUCCUACGGGAGGCAGCAGUGGGGAAUAUUGCACAAUGGGCGAAAGCCUGAUGCAGCGACGCCGCGUGAGGGAUGACGGCCUUCGGGUUGUAAACCUCUUUCAGCUGGGAAGAAGCGAAAGUGACGGUACCUGCAGAAGAAGCGCCGGCUAACUACGUGCCAGCAGCCGCGGUAAUACGUAGGGCGCGAGCGUUGUCCGGAAUUAUUGGGCGUAAAGAGCUCGUAGGCGGCUUGUCACGUCGGUUGUGAAAGCCCGGGGCUUAACCCCGGGUCUGCAGUCGAUACAGGCAGGCUAGAGUUCGGUAGGGGAGAUCGGAAUUCCUGGUGUAGCGGUGAAAUGCGCAGAUAUCAGGAGGAACACCCGUGGCGAAGGCGGAUCUCUGGGCCGAUACUGACGCUGAGGAGCGAAAGCGUGUUCAGCGAACACGAUUAGAUACCCUGGUAGUCCACGCCGUACACGGUGCGGACUACGUGUGGGCGACUUUUCCACGUCGUCUGUGCAGUAGCUCACGCAUUCAGUGACUCGCCUGUGGAGUACGGCCGCAAGGCUAAAACUCAAAGGAAUUGACGGGGGCCCGCACAACCGGCGGAGCAUGUGGCUUAAUUCAACGCAACGCGAAGAACCUUACCAAGGCUUGACAUACACCGGAAAGCAUCAGAGAUGGUGCCCCCCUUGUGGUCGGUGUACAGGUGGUGCAUGGCUGUCGUCAGCUCGUGUCGUGAGAUGUUGGGUUAAGUCCCGCAACGAGCGCAACCCUUGUCCCGUGUUGCCAGCAGGCCCUUGUGGUGCUGGGGACUCACGGGAGACCGCCGGGGUCAACUCGGAGGAAGGUGGGGACGACGUCAAGUCAUCAUGCCCCUUAUGUCUUGGGCUGCACACGUGCUACAAUGGCCGGUACAAUGAGCUGCGAUACCGCGAGGUGGAGCGAAUCUCAAAAAGCCGGUCUCAGUUCGGAUUGGGGUCUGCAACUCGACCCCAUGAAGUCGGAGUCGCUAGUAAUCGCAGGUCAGCAUUGCUGCGGUGAAUACGUUCCCGGGCCUUGUACACACCGCCCGUCACGUCACGAAAGUCGGUAACCCCCGAAGCCGGUGGCCCAACCCCUUAUGGGAGGGAGCUGUCGAAG
rnacentral:rRNA from 1 species